rnacentral:tRNA from 1 species
GCCCAGGUGUUGGAAUUGGCAGACAAGCAGGAUUUAGGUUCCUGUGCCUUCGGGCGUGAGGGUUCGACUCCCUCCCUGGGCACCA